rnacentral:rRNA from 1 species
ACACCCCAACUCACCAAAGGUUGACCUCGGAUCAGGUAGGAAUACCCGCUGAACUUAA